CACGUACACACGUGUGUGUAUGUACUAACAUCUUUAUCAGGCUGUCCAAACAUUGCUAAUUGUCAAGAGUGUCAAAAGUGGGAUUUGUUGACAUUGAUCAAAUAUUUGCAAUCCAGAAACAAGAAAAAUACAGCUGUUUUCGAGAUUUUUAUGGAGUUAAUUUUGGGGUAGUUUUCAUCAGCUGUUAUACCGUGAGUUAAACUUGAAUCGGGUGGAAGCUACGAAUUCCGUUUGUAAUUAAGUAACUUUGAUGUUGAAUUAAAUGAAUUUGGGAAUGAACUUCACACUUCCAUAGCAACUAAUGUUGCAGUUUGCUGAUAUUAAGGAUCGCAAGGACAAUGUCAAGGUUUAAGGUUUCAAAUAAUACAAUUUUCAUAAUAUUCAAAUAUUUAAAUUUCAAAUGAUCGAAGACCUGAGCAGUGGUGUUAUGCCUCAAUUUUCAGUCACAGGGUAUUUGCGUUAAAUUCCAGGUUUUUAGAAGUGUAUUGUAACUAAUUGUGCAAACAAACAACAUUGUGCAAUAAAUAAAUAAUAAAAUG